GUGCACAUGUAUAUACCAUUAAAUAUAUGCCAAAAUUACCUAACUAUUUUGGUAACAUCGCAGGGGAAAGAGAAGGAGAGGGAGAAGGAGAGGGAGCAGGAGAGGGAGAAGGAGAGGGAGAAACAGAGAAAGAAACAGAAAGAGAAAGAGAAAGAGAAAACGAAGCCGAAGCCGAAGCCGAAGCCGGAACCGAAACCGGAACCGAAACCGAAACCGAAACCGAAACCGAAACAGAAAACGUGAUUUCGUCUAGCUGUAGUAGUAAUAAAAAAAAAUGUACUAUGCUCGAAGAUUUGUCUGCUGUAAUAAGUGACCAUCAUCACCAUGAAAGAGAAAUGACAUGUGGUAGUAGUAGUGAUGCUAGAAAUGAGACGACGACUGACCAUACAUGUGCAUAUAACUGCUUAAAUCAAAAGAGUGGGUCUGAGUCUUGUUCCGAUAUCGUAAAAGAGUUGAAUAAAUUUUAUUUUGGUUUGUUUGAGUCAAAUGUAGAGUAUGAAGAAGAAGUAGAAGACAAAUCCUGUAGUGCAAUACGAGGUGUAGUACAGGGUAUAGGUUAUAACAAAAGUACUAACGGUUAUAGUGGUAGUGGUAGUGGUAGUGGUAGUAUACGAAAAGACACACACGAAUCGAAAUUUAAUAGUAUUAUAAAAAAUAACUUAGUUUUUAAAAGGAAAAGCAAGAUACAAGCCGAAGAAGAAAAACGAAAGUUAUUUGAACAAAUUAUUAAAUACUGUAAAAAAUAUAUAAAUGUAAAUAUAAAUUAUACUAAUCAAAAUAUAGGUUUUUUUUUUAUAUAUAACAAAACAACAGGAAUAAAAUAUUAUAUUUUAUUAUUAUUAGCAAAGUUUAGGUCAAAUCUAAAAAUUACUAAUUUUUACGCAUGUCUAUCUAAAUCAUGUUUUAUUAAUUUAUAUUUCGACUUCAAUAACAAACAUAAACGAUAUGUAAAGCAGCUUAGCACUAACCUAGAUACGUUUUUUCCGAAUGAUUAUUGUUAUUUGAUAGGGGAACACGUAAAUGCAGCAGGACACGACAGUGAUGGUGAAAAAAGUGAGAGUGAUAAAAAAAACGAGAACAAAAAUGAGAACAAAAACGAGAACAAAAAUGAGAACAAAAAUGAGAACAAAAAUGAGAACAAAAANNNNNNNNNNGAGAACAAAAAUGAGAACAAAAAUGAGAACAAAAAUGAGAACAAAAACAAGAACGAAGUCCAAUGUAUUUUUUUAAGCAACAGAAACAGUUACAGUGUUGUAAAAACAAAAGAUAAAAACAAAGUUGUACUAAAAUAUGCACCACUCGUACAAGAAUCACACGAAUGUUAUAUUAUAGUAAGUACGAAUUUCUAUGGAGCUUUUAUUUAUUUAAUGAAGGGGCUUUACAUAGUAAAACAGAAAAUAAAAGAAAAGAUAUUUAUGUAUAACACAUGUUGUUUAUAUAGGUUUAAUUUGAAUUUAUUCAAUCCAUUUAAUUGUGACUUAAAUGUAAAAUGCGAACUUAAACAGGUCAAUCUGAAUGCUGAUAAAAAAAAAGUAAUUGAAAAACACCAACGCAACAACAAAAUAGAUAUUUCAAAAGACAAAAAAGAGUUAGUUUUAAUACAAAAUGAGAAACAAUAUUUUAAAUUAUUAAGUAAUGAUAAGUUUAAAAUUAAAAAACAAAAAUUGUUUUCAAUUUUAAUUACAUAUUUUUGUAAAGAAAUUCAGUCGAGUUUAUCCUUUAGAGUUACUUUAACUCCUUUUUGUUCAGAAAAAAAAAAAACGAAAAAUAGUUUUAACCCUAUUAUUUAUGAUUAUGAUUUAUUUUUUGAGAACAUAAAAAAGAAUUUUUUUGUUGAAGAAGAAGCUUUAACAGUAAGUCGUGCAAGAGAUUAUAGUAGUAGUAGUAUUAGUAAUAUUAGUAGUAGUAGUGGUGGGGAAAAUAAAAAUAAAUAUAUGAACAUAAACAGCGACACUAUUAGUACUAUUAAGCAAAAUAGUGAUAAUAUACAAAAUGCACCAUGUCAAAAACGAUACAGUGUAAUAGAACUGUUGCAAAAUAGUAGUUAUGAUUUUUAUAACAAAAUGAGUGAUAGAAAUACUAAAAAGGAAAGAGUAAUAAUAAUAGAAAAUGUAAGUGACGCAUUAGUAAAUAAUAAGAUGACAUCUGAUAGUAAAACUACGAACAAUCUACUUGAUAAAGGUUUGCUCGAUAGAGAUGUUAUCCCUGCCAAAAACAGUAUUUUCUGUGAUUAUAAUGUUAAUAUGUAUGAAGUUGGUAGGGGUGGUAGCAAUCGUAGUAGCGGCCAGAGUAGUAGUAACCAUAGUAGUAGUAACCAUAGUAGUAGUAACCAUAGUAGUAGUAACCGUAGUAGUAGUAACCAUAGUAGUAGCAACCAUAGUAGUAGUAACCAGAGUAGUAGUAACCAGAGUAGUAAUAGUGAUGGGCACUAUAACAUUACUACAUUACGAAACUAUAAAAUAGAUACAAAUGCAUUAACAGAAAAAGAUUCUUCUGUUAAUUCUUAUUUUAGACCAUAUAAAGGCAUUGGUAAGGAACUAGGAAAAACAGUUUUGACUAAUUCAGUUGGAUACAGCAAUAGAAGUAAAAAUGAAAACGAAAUAAUAACAACAACUUAUACUAACAAACAUAAAAAAUUUAUUGCAUAUGAUAAAGAAAAAAAUAUUAAAUACGAAAAAAAAUAUAAUUAUGACGAAGGUACAAGCAAAGAAAUCACUUAUUAUGAUGGUAAAGUUUUAAUCGAAAGUAUAUGCAAAACUAAAACCAAAAUAACAAUAUACAUAAAUAAAAAAGAAAAUAUGCAAAGAAACAAUUACAAUGAGAUAUUAAACGAUUUAGAACAAUGUAAAAAAGAAAAGGGUAUGCUACAUAGAAACGUUGAAAUGAAUAAAUGUAUGUAUAAAAUAUUUUUAUUAAGUUUACACAAUUUGACAACAACAACUACUACUACUACUACUGGUAGUAAUAAUGAUGUAAAAAAUGGUAAAAAAAUGGAAACAAAUAAUAAUAACAAUUAUAAUUAUAAUAAUAAAAUAAAUAUCAAUAAUAAUAUUCUUUUUAAUAUGAAUGAAGAGCUUUUAAAUGAUUAUUUAUAUAUUCAAAUCGUGGAGGAUACUGAAACCGUUUUGGUACUUAACUUAGAAUUGUUAGCAUUUGUCCCGUUCCAUUGCAAUUUCUUUAUUAUGAUUAAGAAGGUGGAAGCUAUAGAAAAUGAUAAACCAUAUGGUAGUAGUCUGUAUGUUAAGCCACAUGGACAUAUUGAACCUGAACAAGGUAAUAUAUUAUCUAAUGGUUCAAAUCAAACGAAUGUGGACAAGUCGUUGUCAAACCAAGACGAAAAAAAUAACAAACACAAUUGGGAUAUUCAUAAAAACUUUAUAGAAAUCGAAUCAAUUAAAAAAGAAAAAAAAAAAGAACACACCAGUAUUGAAAAAAAUUAUAUAUUUGUAGAAAUACAUAAUCAUAUUAAUAUAUCAAACAAAGUUAUUAAAGUUGAUAUAAAUAAUAAUUUUUGUUCAGAAACUAUAUUUGAAAUAUUUUAUAAAAAUAAUAAUGAUUCUUAUUUUAAUGCUUAUAUUUUAAAUUAUAAUCAACCAAGUAGUUAUACUAUAACAGAUGACAUUGUUAAUUAUGACAUUAAACCGAGUAGUGGUUUACUAAGACAUAGUACGUACAAUAAGUUUGUUAUUUAUAGAACUAACAAAAAUAAUGUAAUAAAUUCAAUUAACUCAUUUUUACUUCUAAUUAAAACUGAUAAAAAUAUAUUCUCUUAUAUAAUCUUUGCGCGGUACACCCCGACCUCGAACAUACCUGUAAUAGUAAGAAGAGUGUACAUACGUACAUAAAUGUCUGUAUGUGUGUACAAAUGUUUGAUAAAACCAUUCGUGACCCUUUGACAGAUACAUAUACAUGCAUAGUUUAAAUAAAAUUUAGAUUUUUU
ensembl:lncRNA